UCGGCCUGAUUUUCUAGGGUUUAUUGUGAUCCAGAGAGAAGGAAAGCUGGGUUUUAGAUUUCAGAAUUGCAAAGUUCAGAUGAUUAACGUCGGUGGUAUUUCUUCGUCAGUUCUUCUCGAAGCGAAUAUUCUGUUCGAUUUUUUUGGUGAUUCGAGAGGUACUGACAGUGAAUCGGAGGACUUUGAUAAUCUGGAGGAUGAGCAGCUACUGGUCGACGGAGAAGAGGAGGAUGAAGGGCAAUCAGUUCAGUGAGGUUUUCAUUGAUUUUGUUGAUUAAGUGGCUCAUACUCUUGAUGGUGACCCUGAGCUUCUGGAUGACUCAGAGUUCUAUCAGCAGUUAUUGAAGGAAUUUUUUGAGGCAAUGGACCCAACAUCCUCAGAGGCAGCCAGUUGUGAGCUUAAGAAAAUACGAACAAAGAAGAGAAAGUCGUAUGAUCAAUACGCCUCUAAGAGUCGCAAAAUUAGGUACAAUGUUCAUGAAAAGAUUGUGAAUUUCAUGGCACCUCUGCCCAUCAACCUUCCAGCCAUGGCCCCUAUAUUAUUUGAGAACUUGUUCGCAUUGAGAAGUUUUUAGUAUCGAUUUUGUAGUAUUAAUCUUAUGUUUAAGUGUACGUUUGGUAAUUUAAUCAGAGGCGUUAAUGCUAAAACCUAGUAGA